rnacentral:lncRNA from 1 species
AAAACAUAUUUUGAUAUAGGCUUGGCCUUUAUAAAUUCUAUCUAUAAAUAAAUGAUAUUCAUCAUUUUGUGAGUCGUGGGAGGCAAUCCUCUAAUCUAUGAACAAGGUGGUUAGAUGAUAUAUACUUUAUAAAUUUUAUUUAGUUUUAUAGUGGACCUUUGGCCAAUGCACUAGAAAAUAACACAAUAUAUGCUAUUAUCUAAAAUAAAAAGGUAACACUCCUAGGAAAAAGCAAAUGAUUUAUAGUGAGGUUGUCUGAAUCACUGUGACCAAAAUCAGUUAUCUUUAUAACUUAUACAAGAGUAAACAACAUUAAUUCAUUUCAGUUGAGCUAUUAAGAGAAUACCACC